AGCGAACGCUGGCGGCAGGCCUAACACAUGCAAGUCGAACGAUCCUUCGGGAUAGUGGCGGACGGGUGAGUAACACGUGGGAACGUACCUUUAGGUUCGGGAUAACUCAGGGAAACUUGAGCUAAUACCGGAUAAGCCCUUUUGGGGAAAGAUUUAUCGCCUUUAGAGCGGCCCGCGUUAGAUUAGCUAGUUGGUGAGGUAAAGGCUCACCAAGGCUCCGAUCUAUAGCUGGUCUGAGAGGAUGAUCAGCCACACUGGGACUGAGACACGGCCCAGACUCCUACGGGAGGCAGCAGUGGGGAAUCUUGCGCAAUGGGCGAAAGCCUGACGCAGCCAUGCCGCGUGAAUGAUGAAGGUCUUAGGAUUGUAAAAUUCUUUUAGCAGGGACGAUAAUGACAGUACCUGCAGAAAAAGCCCCGGCUAACUUCGUGCCAGCCGCCGCGGUAACAC
rnacentral:rRNA from 1 species